UGUAUGGAAAUGCCUGGGUGACCAGAAA
rnacentral:piRNA from 1 species